rnacentral:lncRNA from 1 species
GUUGAAUAAAAAAUUCUUGGGUCCCCCCUUCUGUAAGUACAUUGUCAACUGAGAUUGUCAAUCUCGAUUGUACAAGAAGAAUAAUUCAGCUAUGAAAUCGCAAAUUGGCCAUAAAAAGAAGCAGACCGUAUGUGAUGACAGAAAAUCUGUCAUCUUGAAAUUGUCAAAUAAAGAACCAGAUUUGCUUAUAAUCCUCCUUAAGGCUGUUUUUGAGAAGAUACAGACACAGGAGGGAAAUCAUGAGAUGCCAAAUAGGUAACUACCAACUUAAUGUGUGACAUUUUUCAAGCAUAAUUUAUGCUUGUCUACGAUUAAUUUUUCUUAAUAUUACUAUAGUUAUUUUUUAAUUAGUUGAUUAUAUUCAAUAGUAAUGUUCUAAUAUUUGAUCUACUUUUUUAUGGAUCAUCAGGCGAAAAUCACUAUCGGGGAUAGUUUUGCCAAGUCUCACCAAAUCGAGUUGCUUAUUUGUUUGAAAAACUUGUUGGAAAUUUCAACACGCUAUAUUCUCUCACGAGGAACCUACAGAAUGCAAAGAUUCUCAGACCGAACCAAGCCUGCCAACAGAAACGGUACAAGGAUUUUUAUGCAAAUGUCUUUUGUUGUCUUGUCCUGGCAACAAAAAGCUGAUUGAUUUGGCCCUUGUUCUUGCAUGGAUGACUGGAGACAACUCUUUACUCUAUAAAUAGCUCAAAGUCAGUGAAGCUUAUUGUCCGAUUGAAGAAUUGGAUAGCACAUUUGUUAAGAAAGUGAAGGACAAGGAAGUAGAUUGUGAUUCAUACAAUAAGGACACUGUCAUGGUUUGUCUGAUGGUCUAUGUAGUCCGGAAAAAUGUUGUGGAGGAAGAGCUGCUUGCCAUUGCAUUAUUAGUGUAGUCACUGCUGGUAAUGAUUCUGUUAUAAAUCUACCACCAAUUCUGGAACUCUACGAACAUCUGGUGAUAUGUCAACAAAUCUGCUAUUCCCAUUCGGCAUCUAUCAACUUAAUUCGUUCUGCGAUUCAAUAUUUAUUUCCUUAUUCAUUUGAAUGUACUUGGACUCUGUCCCUGCUUCCUAGGAUGCCCAGUCCCAAGAAUACGAAGAACAGAAUGGGAAAAGAAAGCAAGUAAAACAAUUUGUAGUUCAUGUUAUAAUCACCGCAGAAUUUAG